UACGUAGGGUGCAAGCGUUGUCCGGAAUUAUUGGGCGUAAAGAGCUUGUAGGCGGUUUGUCGCGUCUGCUGUGAAAUUUCGGGGCUCAACCCCCGAACUUGCAGUGGGUACGGGCAGACUAGAGUGUGGUAGGGGAGACUGGAAUUCCUGGUGUAGCGGUGAAAUGCGCAGAUAUCAGGAGGAACACCGAUGGCGAAGGCAGGUCUCUGGGCCAUAACUGACGCUGAGAAGCGAAAGCAUGGGGGAGCGAACAGG
rnacentral:rRNA from 1 species